rnacentral:rRNA from 1 species
AAUACCGCAUACGUCCUACGGGAGAAAGCAGGGGACCUUCGGGCCUUGCGCUAUCAGAUGAGCCUAGGUCGGAUUAGCUAGUUGGUGAGGUAAUGGCUCACCAAGGCGACGAUCCGUAACUGGUCUGAGAGGAUGAUCAGUCACACUGGAACUGAGACACGGUCCAGCCUCCUACGGGAGGCAGCAGUGGGGAAUAUUGGACAAUGGGCGAAAGCCUGAUCCAAAGAGGCCGCGUGUGUGAAGAAGGUCUUCGGA